UACGGGGGGGGCAAGCGUUGUUCGGAAUUACUGGGCGUAAAGGGCUCGUAGGUGGCCAACUAAGUCAGACGUGAAAUCCCCAGGCUCAACUUGGGAACUGCGUCUGAUACUGGAUGGCUUGAAUUCGGGAGAGGGAUGCAGAAUUCCUGGUGUAGCGGUGAAAUGCGCAGAUAUCAGGAGGAACACCGAUGGCGAAGGCAGGUCUCUGGGCCGAUACUGACGCUGAGGAGCGAAAGCGUGGGGAGCGAACAGG
rnacentral:rRNA from 1 species